AUACAUGCAGUCGAACGCACUCUCGUUUAGAUUGAAGGAGCUUGCUCCUGAUUGAUAAACAUUUGAGUGAGUGGCGGACGGGUGAGUAACACGUGGGUAACCUGCCCUAAAGUGGGGGAUAACAUUUGGAAACAGAUGCUAAUACCGCAUAAAACCUAACACCGCAUGGUGUAGGGUUGAAAGAUGGUUUCGGCUAUCACUUUAGGAUGGACCCGCGGUGCAUUAGUUAGUUGGUGAGGUAAAGGCUCACCAAGACCGUGAUGCAUAGCCGACCUGAGAGGGUAAUCGGCCACACUGGGACUGAGACACGGCCCAGACUCCUACGGGAGGCAGCAGUAGGGAAUCUUCCACAAUGGACGAAAGUCUGAUGGAGCAACGCCGCGUGAGUGAAGAAGGUUUUCGGAUCGUAAAACUCUGUUGUUGGAGAAGAAUGUAUCUGAUAGUAACUGAUCAGGUAGUGACGGUAUCCAACCAGAAAGCCACGGCUAACUACGUGCCAGCAGCCGCGGUAAUACGUAGGUGGCAAGCGUUGUCCGGAUUUAUUGGGCGUAAAGCGAGCGCAGGCGGUUUCUUAAGUCUGAUGUGAAAGCCUUCGGCUCAACCGAAGAAGUGCAUCGGAAACUGGGAAACUUGAGUGCAGAAGAGGACAGUGGAACUCCAUGUGUAGCGGUGAAAUGCGUAGAUAUAUGGAAGAACACCAGUGGCGAAGGCGGCUGUCUGGUCUGUAACUGACGCUGAGGCUCGAAAGCAUGGGUAGCAAACAGGAUUAGAUACCCUGGUAGUCCAUGCCGUAAACGAUGAGUGCUAGGUGUUGGAGGGUUUCCGCCCUUCAGUGCCGCAGCUAACGCAUUAAGCACUCCGCCUGGGGAGUACGACCGCAAGGUU
rnacentral:rRNA from 2 species